GCUUUCCUAUUACCCAAUAUUACAUAUAUUUAAGAGGGAGCUACUCAAAUGAAGAUGCAAAAAACAUUUUUUUAUGAAGAUGCUUUGUAUAAAAGUGUGAUUUAUUGAUUUGGCCACACUUUAAAUAAAAACAACACUUUUAUAACAUAUCAAAA